rnacentral:snoRNA from 1 species
CUUCGGUGAUGAUACGAUGACGAGUCGGAACGGGACUCAGUCUGGUUCUGUGGUUACUGGUUCAGGUCCACGUUCUGUGGUUCUGCUCCGGUUCCUCAGAGCCGUGAGUCCUUUUGGUUGAAGACAUCGAGGCAUUUGUCUGAGAAGG